rnacentral:rRNA from 1 species
GAUAAACGCUGGCGGCGUGCCUAAAACAUGCAAGUCGAACGGGCACCUUCGGGUGUCAGUGGCGGACGGCUGAGUAACACGUGGAUGACCUGCCCUGGAGCGGGGGAUAACUGCCCGAAAGGGUGGCUAAUGCCGCAGAUGGCGUUGAUUCGGUUCGGCGACUGAACUUGAGGGGCUCUAGGAGGGGUCCGCGGUCGAUUAGCUAGUGGGUGGGGUAACGGCCUACCAAGGCGGCGAUCGAUAGCUGGUCUGAGAGGAUGAUCAGCCAGACUGGGACUGCGAACGGCCCAGACUCCUACGGGAGGCAGCAGUUAGGAAUUUUGGGCAAUGGGCGAAAGCCUGACCCAGCAACGCCGCGUGGGUGAUGAAGGCCCUCGGGUCGUAAAGCCCUUUUCCCAGGGAAGAUAGUGACGGUACCUGGGGAAUCAGCCCCGGCUAACUACGUGCCAGCAGCCGCCGUAAAAC